rnacentral:rRNA from 1 species
GAUGAAUGCUGGCGGUGUGCCUAAUACAUGCAAGUCGAGCGGAAAGGCCCCUUCGGGGGUACUCGAGCGGCGGACGGCUGAGUAACGCGUAGGAACGUACCCCAAACUGAGGGAUAAUCCACCGAAAGGUGGACUAAUACCGCAUGUGCCCUUCGGAGUAAAGCUUCGGCGGUUUGGGAACGGCCUGCGUCCGAUUAGGUUGUUGGUGAGGUAACGGCUCACCAAGGCGACGACGGGUAGCCGGCCUGAGAGGGUGACCGGCCACACUGGGACUGAGACACGGCCCAGACUCCUACGGGAGGCAGCAGUGGGGAAUAUUGCACAAUGGGCGCAAGCCUGAUGCAGCAACGCCGCGUGAGGGAUGACGGCCUUCGGGUUGUAAACCUCUUUUAGUAGGGAAGAAGCGAAAGUGACGGUACCUGCAGAAAAAGCACCGGCUAACUACGUGCCAGCCGCCGCCGUAA